rnacentral:rRNA from 1 species
GUAUGUUGACGUAUCUAGAAGGGAUACUUCUUCGGACAAUAUACAAGGUGCUGCAUGGUUGUCGUCAGCUCGUGCCGUGAGGUGUCGGGUUAAGUCCCAUAACGAGCGCAACCCCUAUCAUUAGUUGCCAUCAGGUCAAGCUGGGGACUCUAAUGAAACUGCCUACGCAAGUAGUGAGGAAGGUGGGGAUGACGUCAAAUCAGCACGGCCCUUACGUCCAGGGCUACACACGUGCUACAAUGGCCGGUACAAAGGGCAGCUACCUGGUGACAGGAUGCUAAUCUCAAAAGCCGGUCUCAGUUCGGAUCGGAGUCUGCAACCCGACUCCGUGAAGCUGGAAUUGCUAGUAAUCGCGCAUCAGCCAUGGCGCGGUGAAUACGUUCCCGGGCCUU